AGUUCACAACAACAUCACUAACACGUUCAAGUCUCCUGCUGAAGCUGAACGUUUUGCGGACUCACUGUAAUCGUGACCUGGCUGGGAUCGAUGCUGGUGUCUGAAAACUCUUCUGUGGAGUGGCGUAGGUCUGCAGCUCACAGGAGGAUGAUGACAGUGAGGAAGAGCCAGCAGGCUGGGAACGAUCCAGUUCAUUUUUGUGCCUGAGCAGAUAUAAGCUGGACUUCCAUCUCCUGGAUCUUCUGCAGGGCUUUCCCCGGAAGUCCAUCCUUCCACUCCUCCACCGCCCAGCUCAUGGUUUAACCUUACUAAAACAUACAUCCAUUUAUAUAAAAGUAAUGAGGUGAUGACAAGCUGAUAAAUAUAUCUACUUCAAAAUUUAUUUAUUUAUUUUUUAAAUUUAUGUUUUAUUGGUUUUUCUUAUUUAUACAACAUGAACAACAUUACAACUUAAUCACCGUGAGGGGAGGGGAAGAAAAACAACCAACAAACAGAAACAAAACAAAACACAAAAAAACACCAGCAAACAGACA